rnacentral:rRNA from 1 species
AAAUUGAAGAGUUUGAUCAUGGCUCAGAUUGAACGCUGGCGGCAGGCCUAACACAUGCAAGUCGAACGGUAGCACAGAGAGCUUGCUCUCGGGUGACGAGUGGCGGACGGGUGAGUAAUGUCUGGGAAACUGCCUGAUGGAGGGGGAUAACUACUGGAAACGGUGGCUAAUACCGCAUAAUGUCGCAAGACCAAAGAGGGGGACCUUCGGGCCUCUUGCCAUCAGAUGUGCCCAGAUGGGAUUAGCUAGUUGGUGAGGUAACGGCUCACCAAGGCGACGAUCCCUAGCUGGUCUGAGAGGAUGACCAGCCACACUGGAACUGAGACACGGUCCAGACUCCUACGGGAGGCAGCAGUGGGGAAUAUUGCACAAUGGGCGCAAGCCUGAUGCAGCCAUGCCGCGUGUAUGAAGAAGGCCUUCGGGUUGUAAAGUACUUUCAGCGGGGAGGAAGGUGUUGUGGUUAAUAACCUCAGCAAUUGACGUUACCCGCAGAAGAAGCACCGGCUAACU